rnacentral:rRNA from 1 species
AUUGAACGCUGGCGGCAUGCCUUACACAUGCAAGUCGAACGGUAACAGGUCUUCGGAUGCUGACGAGUGGCGAACGGGUGAGUAAUACAUCGGAACGUGCCCGAUCGUGGGGGAUAACGAGGCGAAAGCUUUGCUAAUACCGCAUACGAUCUACGGAUGAAAGCGGGGGAUCUUCGGACCUCGCGCGGACGGAGCGGCCGAUGGCAGAUUAGGUAGUUGGUGGGAUAAAAGCUUACCAAGCCGACGAUCUGUAGCUGGUCUGAGAGGAUGAUCAGCCACACUGGGACUGAGACACGGCCCAGACUCCUACGGGAGGCAGCAGUGGGGAAUUUUGGACAAUGGGCGAAAGCCUGGUCCAGCCAUGCCGCGUGCAGGAUGAAGGCCUUCGGGUUGUAAACUGCUUUUGUACGGAACGAAAAGCCUCUUUCUAAUAAAGAGGGGUCAUGACGGUACCGUAAGAAUAAGCACCGGCUAACUACGUG